GGGCCGGUAGUCUAGCUGGCUAGGACGUCGCCCUCACACGGCGAAGAUCGCCGGUUCAAAUCCGGCCCGGCCCACCA
rnacentral:tRNA from 1 species